GACCGCGUAGCUCAGUUGGUAGAGCAUUGGGCUAGUAUUCCAAAGGUUGUAGGUUCGAUUCCCACCGUGGCCA
rnacentral:tRNA from 1 species